CCAAUUCAUACAUUAAUCAUACAUUGCUCACUUGACAAUCAGUCCACAUUCGGAUGCUAAAUCAUGCCAAAAUUACCAAAAUUCAUGACAUAGGCACAUAUGUAUUUACCUACCAUCAACCAAAUAUAACAGUUCAUCACUGCCAUUUUGCAAAUAAUUUAUAACAACCACAAAUGCAUAUUAUACCAAAUCAUAUAUCA
rnacentral:lncRNA from 1 species